UACGUAGGGUGCGAGCGUUGUCCGGAAUUAUUGGGCGUAAAGAGCUCGUAGGCGGUGUGUCACGUCGGCCGUGAAAACCUGCAGCUUAACUGUGGGCGUGCGGUCGAUACGGGCAUCACUGGAGUUCGGCAGGGGAGACUGGAAUUCCUGGUGUAGCGGUGAAAUGCGCAGAUAUCAGGAGGAACACCGAUGGCGAAAGCGGGUCUCUGGGCCGAUACUGACGCUGAGGAGCGAAAGCGUGGGGAGCGAACAGG
rnacentral:rRNA from 1 species